UUCACAUUUUCAAAAUUAACUCCAUGAAAACGAACUCCAGCGAGAUAUAAUUUGAUUGUUGAAUAUUUUAGUUUUAACACUGAUUAGCAAUGGGCCACAAAAUAGAUCAAUAAAUCUUCCGAAACUUUAGACAUAUUGAAGCUCCUUGAGUUGAAUCCAGUGAUAUGAUCGCCACAAAAUUGAAUAAAACAUUUAUAUCCUGUUGAAUAAACAUUGCGGGUAUUCACAUUGAUACUUUUUAUUCCAUAAGCUGUCGACUGCUUGAUCUAACUCCACAGAAUUUUGGAAUGAGGAGGGCAGGUGCAUGGAUUUGGCGAAGCGUCCGGAGCCAAUUGUCGAAACUGCU
rnacentral:lncRNA from 1 species